AUUGAACGCUAGCGGCAUGCCUAACACAUGCAAGUCGAACGGCAGCACGGGGAGCUUGCUCCCUGGUGGCGAGCGGCGGACGGGUGCGUAACGCGUAGGAAUCUACCUCAUAGCGGGGGACAACCCGGGGAAACUCGGGCUAAUACCGCAUAAUCGCUUCGGAGCAAAGCUGGGGACCGUAAGGCCCAGCACUGUGAGAUGAGCCUGCGUUGGAUUAGCUAGUUGGUGGGGUAAAGGCCUACCAAGGCAACGAUCCAUAGCUGGUCUGAGAGGACGACCAGCCACACUGGGACUGAGACACGGCCCAGACUCCUACGGGAGGCAGCAGUGGGGAAUAUUGGACAAUGGGCGAAAGCCUGAUCCAGCAAUGCCGCGUGUGUGAAGAAGGCCUUCGGGUUGUAAAGCACUUUCGUUGGGGAAGAAAAAGCCAAAGAUAAUACCUUUGGAAAUUGACGUUACCCAAAGAAGAAGCACUGGCUAACUCUGUGCCAGCAGCCGCCGUAA
rnacentral:rRNA from 1 species